UGGGAAAUUCGGGGGUUAAAGAACCCAAACCCCUGUGAACAUACCUUAUGUUGCCUCGGCGGAUCAGCCCGCGCCCCGUAAAAAGGGACGGCCCGCCGCAGGAACCCUAAACUCUGUUUUUAGUGGAACUUCUGAGUAUAAAAAACAAAUAAAUCAAAACUUUCAACAACGGAUCUCUUGGUUCUGGCAUCGAUGAAGAACGCAGCAAAAUGCGAUAAGUAAUGUGAAUUGCAGAAUUCAGUGAAUCAUCGAAUCUUUGAACGCACAUUGCGCCCGCCAGUAUUCUGGCGGGCAUGCCUGUUCGAGCGUCAUUUCAACCCUCAAGCCCAGCUUGGUGUUGGGAGCUGCAGUCCUGCUGCACUCCCCAAAUACAUUGGCGGUCACGUCGAGCUUCCAUAGCGUAGUAAUUUACAUAUCGUUACUGGUAAUCGUCGCGGCCACGCCGUUAAACCCCAACUUCUGAAUGUUGACCUCGGAUCAGGUAGGAAUACCCGCUGAACUUAAGCAUAUCAAGAGCCGGGGAGGAAA
rnacentral:rRNA from 1 species